CAGUUUUAUUUUGCUAACGUUAGCUAGCUAGCUACUCUAAAUGUUAUUGUAGCUUUGUAAUGGGUGUCGUCGGAAGGAUGAGACCAAGGCCCAGCGUUCUUUGAGUUCCACAUAAUUUAUUAACAAAGUGAAACUUUAGAAAAUACAAAACAAUAAAGAAUACAACGCCCGAACAGCUUCGUUGUGCAAACUACCUGCACACCAACAAAGAACAAGAUCCCACACAGAAGGAGGGAAAGGGCUGCCUAAGUACAACGAUAGACAGCUGCCUCUGAUUGGGAACCAGACUCCGCCAGAAACAAAGAAAUAAAGAACAUAGAAUUCCCACCCAAAUCACACCCUGACCAAACCAAAAUAGAGACAUAAAAAGGCUCGCUAGGGUCAGGGCGUGACAAGCUAUCUGUUUGUAUGUAGCUUGCACUUGAAUGGCAUCCCUGAAGGAGAUUUUCUUUUAUAUUUCCAACCAGGUGAAGUACUAUGAAGGUACCACUGAUCUCGACAAGAGGCGCAACAUUCAGAAAAUUUCACAAUUCAGGUCAAUCAUAUCUACCUUACGGAGGAAGGAUGGCCAGCCACACAGCAGGGUGAUGUUUACUAAGGAGGAGAAGGAAGCCGUGCUGACCGAGAUGCAUGCUGGCCAUUUCGGAGUGAAGCACAUGAUUGCCAAAAUCAACCUACGAUUCUUCUGACAGGGAAUUGUCAAGGAGGUCGGUACCCUGUCAAGCCAGCCAGAAGUUUCAUAGUGCGACGACUGUGGCACCAGAGUUGAAGCACAUCAAAGUUGUUUCACCAAUGCACAUGAUCGGGGUGGACCUCAUCGGACCCUUCACGAAAUCCAGGAAUGGCAGCAGCUGGUGUCUGACGGUGACCAAUUACUUUACCAAGAGGGUGGAGGCAAUACCUAUUAAGGACGAAACUGGCAAGGCCAUGGUUCUCCUGAGGUCAUCUUGAGUGACCGAGGUCAUGAACGCUGGAACAAGGUUUGGUGAAUGGACGAACUAGACCCUCAAGACUGGCAUGGGAAAGUCCCUUGAUUGGUACCAGGAAUGGUGGGAGAACAACCUGAAGGUAAUUCUCUUUGCACACAACAGCAUCCAGGCCUCCACCGAGUACGGACAGGAGCAGCAGCUGUUGACUGUGGUAAACAAUGCAAUUGUAUAUACAAUUAUUGCAUAUACUGUAGUUUUUCAAUUUGGUAUUUACUUUGUGUUGUUUGUCUAUUGACAUUUUUGUAUAACAUACUUUCAGAUCUUCCUGAGGGGUGCAGUGGUCUAAGAACUGCAUCACAGUGCUAGCUGUGCCACUAGAGAUUCUGGAUUAGAGUCUGCAACCGGUAGACCCAUGGGGCGGCGCACAAUUGGCCUAGCGUCGCCCAGGUUAGGGGAGGGUUUGGCCGGCAGUGAGGUCCUUGUCCCAUUGCGCACUAGUGACUCGUGUGGCUGGCCGGUCUCAGUGCACGCUGACACGGUCGCCAGGUGCACAGUGUUUCCCCCGACACAUUGGUGUGGUUGGCUUGUGGGUUAAGUGGGCAUUGGGUCAAGAAGAAGUGCGGCUUGGCUGGGUUGUGUCUUGGCCUUCGCCUCUCCCGACUCUGUAUGGGCAAUGAGACAACACUUUAACUACCCAUUGGAUACCACGAAAUUGGGGAGGAAAAAAAGGGGUAAUAUUUUAAGUUGUCGAACAAGAUCAGUACACCUUCGUGGACCACCUUCAGGCACCGACUGAGAAGGAUGUGGAGGUAAAAAUGAUUGUCCGCUAUUAAUUUAUUUUCUGGCUCUCCAAGAGAUAUGUAAGAAAUGUAUUUGUAAUAUGAAAUAUAAUUGCAUUAAUUCCUGUUAUCAAUUAAGGUGAGACUGAACAUUGUCAAGGCGAAAGAAAAACAGAAGGAGAGCUACCGGAGCAGAGUCAAGAAGGGGACCAAGUGCUACUACAUCCGGGCAAAUGACUUGGUUUUAAAGAAGAAUGAAAGGAAGUCGGGACCUGGGAAACCUCGCUGCUCUUUCACUCCUAGCUGGGGUCACCAUCUGUUUACUUGCGGAACACCUCGACAACAUCCGCUGAAAAGGCAGAGCGUGAAAUUCAAAAAUAUUUUAAAGAAAUAUUUAACUUUCAUACAUUCACAAGUGCAAUACACCAAAUUAAAGCUUAACUUCUUGUUAAUCUACCCGUUGUAUCCGAUUUCAAAAAGGCUUUACAGCGAAAGCACACCAUAUGAUUAUGUUAGGUCAGAGCCUAGUCACAAAAAAACAUACAGACAUUUUCCAGCCAAAGAGAGGAGUCACACAAGCAGAAAUAGAGAUAAAAUGAAUCACUAACCUUUGAUGAUCUUCAUCAGAUGACACUCAUAGGACUUCAUGUUACACAAUACAUGUAUGUUUUGUUCAAUAAAGUUCAUAUUUAAAUCCAAAAAUCUCAGUUUACAUUGGCGCGUUGUGUUCAGAAAUGUUGCGCCUCAAAUAUCCGACGAAUUUGCAGAGAGCCACAUCAAUUUACAGAAAUACUCAUCAUAAACUUUGAUAAAAGAUACAAGUGUUAUGCACAGAAUUAAAGAUAUACUUCUCCUUAAUGCAACCGCUGUGU